rnacentral:lncRNA from 1 species
CCGCCACCCGCCACCGCACCGGAAUCCUUUUCGACUGUCAAAAAUGGUAAAAACUUUUCUUUUUGCACGAAAUUCAAUUUUAAGUUUACCCAUGCCAAAUCGGAGCAAAAAGACCGGUCAAAUGGCCGAAAAACACUGGCAAAGUCCGGCGGUGGCGCUGCGGAAAAUUUUACAAAAUGCCUCCAGUGAGACCCUUCUCGAUUCCCGUUUCGCGUAAUUUUUCUACCGUUGUGAUCACCAUUUUCUUCUCUACAGGUUAACGGAAGCAAAACACCUAACUGCAACAUGAACUGGAGGAGUCGCCGCACCAGAGAGCCCGCCGCCGGUGAGUUUCAAUUUUUUUGUAUUUUUUCGACCAACCGAGGCCCUUAAAUGUGUUUUCU